UAGUCCACGCUGUAAACGAUGAAUACUAGGUGUUGGCCCUUUAAGGGUCAGUGCCGCAGCAAACGCGUUAAGUAUUCCACCUGGGGAGUACGAUCGCAAGGUUGAAACUCAAAGGAAUUGACGGGGCCCGCACAAGCAGUGGAGCAUGUGGUUUAAUUCGAUAAUAAGCGCGGAACCUUACCUAGGCUCGAAUGUUUUUUGACCGAUCUAGAGAUAGAUCUUUCCGUAAGGACAAAUUACAAGGUGCUGCAUGGCUGUCGUCAGCUCGUGCCGUGAGGUGUUGGGUUAAGUCCUAUAACGAGCGCAACCCCUAUGCUUAUUUGCCAGCACGUUAUGGUGGGAACUAUAAGCAAACUGCCUGCGAAAGCAGUGAGGAAGGUGGGGAUGAGGUCAAGUCAUCAUGGGCUCUUACGCCUAGGGGCUACACACGUGCUACAAUGGCGUGUACAGCGGGGUCGCUACCCGGGCAACCGGGGAUGGCCAAUCCUCAAAACACGUCUCAGUUCGGGAUUGGGGGU
rnacentral:rRNA from 1 species